UAUGUUGUCUUUGGCAGCAAAGCUGGCUUGAAAGUUCCCAACACCUCUGACCAAUUUACUGCCCCCUCAGAUGUGUCAGUAAAUGUCUAUGGUUCUGUGCACCAAACUGGGUAACUCAGGUGAUCUGGAGUCAAAAUAAGCAAAUAUACCCAGUACUAAAAGUUUUGGAAAAUGGGGUAAUGUGGGUAAUGUAGGGUACAAGGUAUGAGCUUUGCUGCUGAUAAACAAUAUAGUAUCUAACAACAAGAAAGUUGUGAAAUCUUGAAUACUCAAACGAUGAUACUUGUGUAGCUGUGUCCCCAGUCUUUGGCAAGACUCACCCUGUGCAUCCUGAUAUUAAUUAUUCUGAUCACAUAGAAAGACUAAGAGUAAUGUUUGUAUGUAGGGAAAAUAUAUCUACUAUAGCCAGUGCGUACUUGGUGGAUUAGCAAUCAUCUCCAAUAAAAGGUUUCUUACCAUUGAUUCAUCUCAUAUCAGGUCGCUGUCAAGUUCACAGAAGCUGUUUCACUAAUUUGGAUUUUAACGCCUUUGUUUUUUUACAGAUGAAAGUGCAUGUUCAGCCUGCUGCAGAAUGAGUUUUAAAUGUGGUGUAAGAAGAGAGCUUUUAAUUUCCCAAACAUUGUGGGCUAUUAUUAUAGCUAUAGUAUUUAUCAUAAACCUAACAUGGCUGUUCCCCUAAACAGCUUGUGUUUAAGUUAUGCUUACUUAAAUUAUUGUAAAGGAGAAUACGAAUACUUGUUAAGUUAGUGUAGCGCAUUGCUGUUGGUACUUGUUAUGUUUCAUAGUGUAGUAUGUGUGAGUGGUGUUUUCUGGAUCUACAAGAAGGAAGUGACUGAUAUCAAGUAAGUAAGCUAAAACUAACCAUGGUCUCUGCAGCACCUUGUAUACAACCAAAAGAAAAACAUGAGGAUCUUCAGGACUGUGCAACAGUGAAGGGAAAAUAAAGAAUAAAGCCACUGUAAUGCAAAAAGAAAUGCAUUAGAGGUAUUUCCCCUGCAAUAUUUUAAUGGAUUUAUGAAUUUCUUGAUCAUUUUAUUUAAACAUUCUAGUGCAAUUUCUUUUAGUUUGUUUUAAUGUUCCUAAUCCAGAUCAGCUGCUGAGCAAUGGGAAUAAAUGGUGAUUAUUGGCACACUGCUAGGGUGACUGCACAGAGCUAUAAUGAGGCAUCUGCAAUGUUUUUUUCAGUGUGUAGCAACCAGUUGACCCUGUAGACUGUGGCUAAUGCAAAGCAGAACUGUGCAUUUGGUGGCCGUCAGCAGCUGUGUGGGAGUGGUGUGUAGGUCUCUUGUUUGCUGGCUGAUCUUGAAGUGGCCUUGCUAAAAGCACUCCCUGCCAUUUCUAAAGGAGAUAAAUCUACCUAAAACACUUUGAAGCAGACAUGCUCCUCUGCUUGAAGAAAAGAGAAAGAAAGUGAUUUUCCCUGAACCUCUCAUCAUAAAGCACGUGUUCCUGUUAGUUACAAUUUCCAAGGCAGUGAAAGACCAGCAACAAGCUGCCAGUUUAUCACGUUAGAGCCCCAUUCUGUUCCAGCCCUGCAGCUUCUCAACUCACUGUAACCUACACGUGGUGCUCUGUGGAGAAGAGCCGCACAG